UACGUAGGGUGCAAGCGUUGUCCGGAAUUAUUGGGCGUAAAGAGCUCGUAGGCGGUUCGUCGCGUCGGCUGUGAAAACCUGAGGCUCAACCUCAGGCCUGCAGUCGAUACGGGCGGACUUGAGUACUGCAGGGGAGACUGGAAUUCCUGGUGUAGCGGUGAAAUGCGUAGAUAUCGAGAGGAACACCUGCGGCGAAGGCGGGUUGCUGGGCUGACACUGACGCUGACAGCGCGAAAGCUAGGGGAGCGAACGGG
rnacentral:rRNA from 1 species